AAAAAUGUGACUUUCUGACCCCUAGUUCUGGAAAUGCUACCUAGUGUUCUGCCUUGGUCUUCUGCCACUGUGAAUUGUUAGCCACGAGAAGGUGCUGGAUGUCCCUGCAUAGCCUGAACGUGCUCCCCAGGAGACUAGAGCCCUUGCCUACCAUUGCAGUGAAUUCCUCAAGGGACUGGGAAGGAAGGUGAUGUCGAUGAGCUACAGGAGAAGCUGGCAGCUUUCCCCACAGAGUUGGACACACACAGGCUCAGGACUCAGAAGUGAAGAAAGAUUCCGUGGGGUUGGAAGAGCUGCAGGCCUGGAUGAAGUCCCCAGAAACAAGUGACCGUGGAAACAUCCUGCUGAGAUGGAGAAACUGUGACUCGCUCUGUCUGCAUCCCUGAGCUUUCACCUGGAAAAGGCACUGACCUUGUGUAGUUCUUCUUAAUGCCUCCUGCAUCAUUUCCAAGGGUUAUACCUGUGCUCAGCAGGAUGAGUAUGGAGAAACAGAUCUCAGUAUUGGUAUUGCUGGACCCUUCCGUACACAUUGGAAUCCUGAGAUACUGCAAAAGCAUUCAACAACCCAUGUGCUGCCAGAAAAUGCAGGAACUCUUGCUGUAAUGCUGGAGGUGGUCGGGCACAACUCACAGCCCUGCUUGGGACACAGCAGCUGGGGGUCCAUGGAGAUGUCUACCUGAGGCCAAUUGGAGCGAUGGAUGCUGCUUCAGUUAAAACAGCCAAGGACUCAAGAAACAACGAUUUUCAUAAUUAACCAGAUAAUUUAAGCUAGUAUUCCUGUUUUGUAAUUAGGUAGACACUCAUCAUAAUUUUCUUGAUGCUUUUACCUAAUACCUGAAUAUACUUAAGCUUACAAAUUAGCAGCUUUCAAGGUGCUUAGCAUAUUUUUCAUGUAACAUUUGAUAUUUUUAAAGCAUUUCUAAUAAAAAACUUUGAAAACUGUCUUUGAAAUGUUAGCACAAGUAUUAUGUAUCCAUUUAACAUAAGACAAAGUUGAAAUUCAUUAUUUAUGUAACUUACCUAAAAAUUCCUACCCAGAAAUUUAUUGACCUAGAUUUUAAAACCACAUUCCUACUCCAGUAUUAUAUUUAUUGAAAAAUAUGUUAUAUAGUGUAUUCUUACAAUAAAUUAAGCUACAGAAAAUAAAAUGUUAUCAAGAAAAUCAAAAGGAAGAAAAAAUACAUUUACCGUACUGCAUUUAUUGAUACUGUACAUUUAUAUCCUCUGUUUACAAGAAGAUUCGUCUGUCUGAAAUGGCAAGCAAUUACAGCUACACAUCUCAAUCUAUGGUACAUAUUAAGCAAUUCUACUUUUUUUGUAAUGUCAUGACUUUUCUCUGCUUCUUGGGAGCACUUUCAGCACCAAUAGUGCUUUGUAUGGGUCCCAAGAUGUUAUUCAAGGUUUAUGGUAUUGCACUAAACACGGUGAAAAAUACACAAGAAGCUCGAGAGAGCACUUUUUACUGUGAUGUGCAAUUUACUGGAGAG
rnacentral:lncRNA from 10 species